GAUGAACGCUGGCGGCGUGCCUAAUACAUGCAAGUCGAGCGAACGGACGAGAAGCUUGCUUCUCUGAUGUUAGCGGCGGACGGGUGAGUAACACGUGGAUAACCUACCUAUAAGACUGGGAUAACUUCGGGAAACCGGAGCUAAUACCGGAUAAUAUUUUGAACCGCAUGGUUCAAAAGUGAAAGACGGUCUUGCUGUCACUUAUAGAUGGAUCCGCGCUGCAUUAGCUAGUUGGUAAGGUAACGGCUUACCAAGGCAACGAUGCAUAGCCGACCUGAGAGGGUGAUCGGCCACACUGGAACUGAGACACGGUCCAGACUCCUACGGGAGGCAGCAGUAGGGAAUCUUCCGCAAUGGGCGAAAGCCUGACGGAGCAACGCCGCGUGAGUGAUGAAGGUCUUCGGACCGUAAAACUCUGUUAUUAGGGAAGAACAUAUGUGUAAGUAACUGUGCACAUCCUGACGGUACCUAAUCAGAAAGCCACGGCUAACUACGUG
rnacentral:rRNA from 1 species